GCGCUAUAGGAUCUUUGGUUGUGCCCAAAGAUACGGUCUUCGGUUGUCCCGUACCGUAUGCGUGCGUGCCGUAAUGUAUGUAGUACGGUGAGGGAAUCCAUCCCGGCUACGUGCGUGUGUUCCCUAAUCUAGACGAUGGUGAUGGUGAUCUGGGCAAUGCACCUAUUUUGGCAAAACCACUUAAAAACCUUCAGAUCAUUGUGAAUGUAAAGAGCAGUGCAGACCGGUACGAGAGGAAAAAACUAGUUGUCUAGAUCAAACCCUCAGAAGAAUACCUGACUCCAAUUGAAGCAUCAUCCAAAUGCCUUAUUCCAAGACAAAUUGGACAGUGGGUUAGACUAUCACUGCUGAUGAGUGCUUUGCCUUAUCACCUUUGAUAAUUGGUAAGUGCAGUACUUGUCU